GACGAACGCUGGCGGCGUGCCUAAUACAUGCAAGUCGAACGAACCGCGACUGAGUGCUUGCACUUGGUCAAGGUGAGUGGCGAACGGGUGAGUAACACGUGGGUAACCUACCUCAUAGUGGGGGAUAACAGUCGGAAACGACUGCUAAUACCGCAUAGGACAUGGAAUCACAUGAUUCUGUGAGGAAAGGUGGCGCAAGCUAUCGCUAAGAGAUGGACCCGCGGUGCAUUAGCUAGUUGGUAGGGUAAAGGCCUACCAAGGCGAUGAUGCAUAGCCGACCUGAGAGGGUGAUCGGCCACAUUGGGACUGAGACACGGCCCAAACUCCUACGGGAGGCAGCAGUAGGGAAUCUUCCGCAAUGGACGCAAGUCUGACGGAGCAACGCCGCGUGAGUGAAGAAGGUCUUCGGAUCGUAAAGCUCUGUUGUUAGAGAAGAACAGCGCAUAGAGUAACUGUUAUGCGUGAGAC
rnacentral:rRNA from 1 species